rnacentral:rRNA from 1 species
AGUGAACGCUGGCGGUAGGCCUAACACAUGCAAGUCGAACGGCAGCACAGUAAGAGCUUGCUCUUACGGGUGGCGAGUGGCGGACGGGUGAGGAAUACAUCGGAAUCUACUUUUUCGUGGGGGAUAACGUAGGGAAACUUACGCUCAUACCGCAUACGACCUACGGGUGAAAGCAGGGGAUCUUCGGACCUUGCGCGAUUGAAUGCGCCGAUGUCGGAUUAGCUAGUUGGCGGGGUAAAGGCCCACCAAGGCGACGAUCCGUAGCUGGACUGAGAGGAGGGUCAGCCACACGGGAACGUGGACACGGUCCAUGCUCCUACGGGAGGCAGCAGUGGGGAAUAUUGGACAAUGGGCGCAAGCCUGACCCAGCCAGACCGCGUGGGUGAAGAAGGCCUUCGGGUUGUAAAGACCUUUUGUUGGGAAAGAAAAGCAGCAGGUUAAGACCCCGCUGUUCUGACGGUACCCAAAGAAGAAGCACCGGCUAACUUCGUG